CAGUGAAAUUCAUGGCUCCUUGUUGCAUACAGCGUUGAAGAAUGGUGCAAGUCAGGUAACAAGAUGGAUUCUUAGUGAAGUGGAGUGUUGGAGAAAUCGCCAAACGUACGAACACAAUUUGCAGGGCGAGCUUCUGAAACGGACA
rnacentral:rRNA from 15 species